rfam:Myotis lucifugus cont2.19679, whole genome shotgun sequence.
AGCAUAGCUUAGUGAAAAGCAUGUUGAACUUGGAAUUCAAAGAUAUGGAUUCAAGUUCCACCUGCUA